rnacentral:rRNA from 1 species
AUUGAACGCUGGCGGCAUGCCUUACACAUGCAAGUCGAACGGUAACAGGUUAAGCUGACGCGUGGCGAACGGGUGAGUAAUACAUCGGAACGUGCCCAGUAGUGGGGGAUAGCCCGGCGAAAGCCGGAUUAAUACCGCAUACGACCUAAGGGCGAAAGGGGGGGAUCGCAAGACCUCUCGCUAUUGGAGCGGCCGAUGUCAGAUUAGCUAGUUGGUGGGGUAAAAGCUCACCAAGGCGACGAUCUGUAGCUGGUCUGAGAGGACGACCAGCCACACUGGGACUGAGACACGGCCCAGACUCCUACGGGAGGCAGCAGUGGGGAAUUUUGGACAAUGGGCGCAAGCCUGAUCCAGCCAUGCCGCGUGCGGGAAGAAGGCCUUCGGGUUGUAAACCGCUUUUGUCAGGGAAGAAAUCCUUUGGGUUAAUACCUCGGGGGGAUGACGGUACCUGAAGAAUAAGCACCGGCUAACUACGUG